CAAAAGCUAUGAUUCAAACAUAAAUUUGGAAGGCAAAGUUUUAAUUUGAAAAACAAGACAUUGUUUCAUUGAAUCCAAAGGGCUAUUUCCAUUCAAUGGUCCAUUUCAUUCAAAAACGUACAUAUACAAAGUUUUAUACAAAAAAAUUACAAAAAUAUAAGUUUGACCUAUAGUUGACUUUUGGUCAACUGUUGACUUUUUGGUUAACCAAUUGAUCAAAGCCAACUGACCCAAUUUCUAGACCUAACACAUAAUUUCCACAUUGAUUCUUCAUUCUUUUACAUCCUUUCACUUAAUUGCAUGACCAAACAUUUCUUCUUCAGCAAGUAAACUUUUUUUUCUCCAAACCAUCACCAUGAGCUUUCAUGUAGUUCCAUGCCAAGCAAGCUUCAGUCAUCAACAUAUCAACUUGCAACAAGCCAAACAUCUCAACCAUUAUCAUAGCAUUUCAAACAGCCUACAAGAUUCAUGUUAAAAUAUCAAGCACUCAUAACAUCCUACAUGGCAAUGCAAAAUACAAUAAUGUAGCAUACUGCUACAUCAAAACAGCUUGUCGAGUAACAACCAUGUAUCCAUGCUCACCUAUUUACAACAAAUCCAUUCAAGCAACGCUUCAAAACAAGCCAUCAACAUAACAUUCAUAGCAAACAUCAUCAACAAAACUGAGCAAGCAACAUACUUAACAUUCAAAUAGCUAUAACAGCACACUUAUAACCUACCAUAACCAAUCCAUUUAACUUCCAAUUACUAACUAUUUAUGUCCUAAUUCUAACAAUUUUAAGACAAAGUUUCAGUAUGAAUUAAUUCACUUGCAUUGACAUCAUUCAAAAUACUUUUCAACUGAUUUCUAACAUUGCAACAAAUACAAUAACAUAGAAUUUCAAUUACUCAUUAAAAUUCACUACCUGUCAAGUUUAAUUCAUACUAAAUAAUCCCAAUCAGCUAACAACAACAAGCAUAUCAGCAGCUAACGUACAAGCAUGGCGUAUCAACUCACUUCAGUCAAGUAACAUACAUGGCAGACAUGGAAUUUGCAAAAAGCAUCAAUCACUGUUAAACCUGUUUAUGAAAAUUGAACUACACAACAACAACAAGACGCAUGAGCAAGACCUGUAGUAUUAAAUUCAAUCAUUCCAUCAAUCCAUCAUAACAAAGAGCAUUACACCAAUCAAGCCACCAAUCCAAACAUUACAAAACAAUGCCUAAACAUGACAUACAAUAUGACAAACCACUUGCAAGAACUCACCAAAACAUGACCUCACCAACCAUGACCAUUGACCUGCUGCAACCUCACCAUGACUUGCUACAUCAAUAUACAUCUGCCUUUAACUUACAUUAAUGCCCUACAUCCACACAUCAUGACCUGUAACAAUAUCCAUCAAGCCUUGACACACUAUCAUCACCAUGAACAUGAUGCAACCUGGAAUAUUAGCAUGCCAUACAAAAACUCAAUACAAAUUUCAAAUACUCAAUCCACUAACAGUCAGUUUAACUAAUAUUUCACUAACAGAGCAAUGACAGUUCAAACUUUCAACUAAUUCUCCUUUGGUUAAUGCUAACUAACUAAUGCAUUAACUGACUUUAAGUGGAAUUGACUAACUGCAUAACUAGUUAACGGUGUUAACUCUUCUAACAAACUUACCCAUUGAUUGAACUAACCUUAACCUUCAAUAAAACUUUUCCUGACUCUGCCCCAUUUUGUUACAAACUAUGAGCCCUAUAAAUCAAAACUCACACACACAUCCAAGGGGAUUGAUCACAAUACCGAAAAUCUCAGAAUCUUUGCAUCAUCUUCAACCUCUCAACUAUAAUCACUCAGAGCACAUCCCUAGACUUCUACAGAGUCUCGACAAUGGACCUUGAAUGAAGGUGUGUUAAACCUCCAUCUGAUUCCAUCACUCUAUUCAUAACCUCACGAGUUCUCUCUGCAACUUUUACUCCCUCUCAAAGCAUAAUCUCAGGCAUAUGUUUUAAAAGAAGAAGAAGAAGGAUCUUUAGAAGAGGAAGAAUCAGAAAGAAGAAGAAGAUAAGAGCAGGAGCAUGCCGGAUUUCAAGUGAUUUUCCCAUCGCUGCUUCGUCUUCUCAUAUCCAACGCUUCGCCAAAGCAAUUCUCAGCUUCGGAGGUAGGUUCAUCUUCACCACUUUAUUGCAAUUAAGUUAUCAUGUUAUAGCUUGCAUCAGGGCGAUUCAAAGCCCUAUCAAUUGUGGCUCUGAAUCUUGUCCUUCGCUAUGUAAUUUGUGGUUGAACUCCUAGGGCUCUUGAAGUCUUUAAUCCGAUUUUGAGGAUAGAUUCAGAAUUGGUUGAAAUGGAAGGAAGAUUUGGAUUGGGGAGGUAGAAACAUAUUAUUUGCUGUAUCUGAUGAUUGUUUAUGAUGGACACUGUUGUCGGAGGCAAUUUUUGGUGUGGUGGUCCACGGCGGAUGUUGAUUUGAGUUAUGAAUUAGAGACUGAUGCGUAAUAUUUUUAAUUUAAUUUUGUUUUU
rnacentral:lncRNA from 1 species